rnacentral:rRNA from 1 species
UACGUAGGCAGCGAGCGUUGUUCGGAUUUACUGGGCGUAAAGCGCACGUAGGCGGAUCGAUCAGUCAGGGGUGAAAUCCCAGAGCUCAACUCUGGAACUGCCUUUGAUACUGUCGAUCUGGAGUAUGGAAGAGGUGAGUGGAAUUCCGAGUGUAGAGGUGAAAUUCGUAGAUAUUCGGAGGAACACCAGUGGCGAAGGCGGCUCACUGGUCCAUUACUGACGCUGAGGUGCGAAAGCGUGGGGAGCAAACAGG